ACUCCCUUUUCAGUACCUUCCACUCACAUCACCAUGAAUGGAUGGCUAUGCUAUUGGGAUAGAAAAACACUGUCAUGGUCUGAAGGUGUGGCUAGCUAACUGUAAACCCCACUAAAUAAAAUGACAGGAUAUUUCAGA
rnacentral:snoRNA from 1 species